GACGAACGCUGGCGGCGUGCUUAACACAUGCAAGUCGAACGGAAAGGCCCUGCUUUUGUGGGGUGCUCGAGUGGCGAACGGGUGAGUAACACGUGAGUAACCUGCCCUUGACUUUGGGAUAACUUCAGGAAACUGGGGCUAAUACCGGAUAGGAGCUCCUGCUGCAUGGUGGGGGUUGGAAAGUUUCGGCGGUUGGGGAUGGACUCGCGGCUUAUCAGCUUGUUGGUGGGGUAGUGGCUUACCAAGGCUUUGACGGGUAGCCGGCCUGAGAGGGUGACCGGCCACAUUGGGACUGCGAUACGGCCCAGACUCCUACGGUAGGCAGCAGUGGGGAAUAUUGCACAAUGGGCGGAAGCCUGAUGCGGCAACGCCGCGUGCGGGAUGACGGCCUUCGGGUUGUAAACCGCUUUCGCCUGUGACGAAGCGUGAGUGACGGUACUGGGUAAAGAAGCACCGGCUAACUACGUG
rnacentral:rRNA from 1 species